CAUGCAAGUCGAGCGGUAACAUUUCUAGCUUGCUAGAAGAUGACGAGCGGCGGACGGGUGAGUAAUGCUUGGGAACAUGCCUUGAGGUGGGGGACAACAGUUGGAAACGACUGCUAAUACCGCAUAAUGUCUACGGACCAAAGGGGGCUUCGGCUCUCGCCUUUAGAUUGGCCCAAGUGGGAUUAGCUAGUUGGUGAGGUAAUGGCUCACCAAGGCGACGAUCCCUAGCUGGUUUGAGAGGAUGAUCAGCCACACUGGGACUGAGACACGGCCCAGACUCCUACGGGAGGCAGCAGUGGGGAAUAUUGCACAAUGGGCGCAAGCCUGAUGCAGCCAUGCCGCGUGUGUGAAGAAGGCCUUCGGGUUGUAAAGCACUUUCAGUCAGGAGGAAAGGUUAGUAGUUAAUACCUGCUAGCUGUGACGUUACUGACAGAAGAAGCACCGGCUAA
rnacentral:rRNA from 1 species